rnacentral:rRNA from 1 species
GUGGGGAAUCUUAGACAAUGGGGGAAACCCUGAUCUAGCCAUGCCGCGUGAGCGAUGAAGGCCUUAGGGUUGUAAAGCUCUUUCAGCUGGGAAGAUAAUGACUGUACCAGCAGAAGAAGCCCCGGCUAACUCCGUGCCAGCAGCCGCGGUAAUACGGAGGGGGCUAGCGUUGUUCGGAAUUACUGGGCGUAAAGCGCACGUAGGCGGACCGGAAAGUCAGAGGUGAAAUCCCAGGGCUCAACCUUGGAACUGCCUUUGAAACUCCUGGUCUUGAGGUCGAGAGAGGUGAGUGGAAUUCCGAGUGUAGAGGUGAAAUUCGUAGAUAUUCGGAAGAACACCAGUGGCGAAGGCGACUGACUGGACAAGUAUUGACGCUGAGGUGCGAAAGCGUGGGGAGCAAACAGGAUUAGAAACCCGUGUAGUCC